UCCCAAGUCGAGCGGGACAGAUGGGGAGCUUGCUCCCUGAUGUUAGCGGCGGACGGGUGAGUAACACGUGGGUAACCUGCCUGUAAGACUGGGAUAACUCCGGGAAACCGGGGCUAAUACCGGAUGGUUGUUUGAACCGCAUGGUUCAGACAUAAAAGGUGGCUUCGGCUACCACUUACAGAUGGACCCGCGGCGCAUUAGCUAGUUGGUGAGGUAACGGCUCACCAAGGCAACGAUGCGUAGCCGACCUGAGAGGGUGAUCGGCCACACUGGGACUGAGACACGGCCCAGACUCCUACGGGAGGCAGCAGUAGGGAAUCUUCCGCAAUGGACGAAAGUCUGACGGAGCAACGCCGCGUGAGUGAUGAAGGUUUUCGGAUCGUAAAGCUCUGUUGUUAGGGAAGAACAAGUGCCGUUCAAAUAGGGCGGCACCUUGACGGUACCUAACCAGAAAGCCACGGCUAACUACGUGCCAGCAGCCGCGGUAAUACGUAGGUGGCAAGCGUUGUCCGGAAUUAUUGGGCGUAAAGGGCUCGCAGGCGGUUUCUUAAGUCUGAUGUGAAAGCCCCCGGCUCAACCGGGGAGGGUCAUUGGAAACUGGGGAACUUGAGUGCAGAAGAGGAGAGUGGAAUUCCACGUGUAGCGGUGGAUUGGCCGUUAAAAAAAA
rnacentral:rRNA from 1 species